rnacentral:rRNA from 1 species
UACAGAGGGGGCAAGCGUUGUUCGGAAUUACUGGGCGUAAAGCGCACGUAGGCGGCUUUGUAAGUUAGAGGUGAAAGCCCGGGGCUCAACCCCGGAAUUGCCUUUAAGACUGCAUCGCUAGAAUUGUGGAGAGGUAAGUGGAAUUCCGAGUGUAGAGGUGAAAUUCGUAGAUAUUCGGAAGAACACCAGUGGCGAAGGCGACUUACUGGACACAUAUUGACGCUGAGGUGCGAAAGCGUGGGGAGCAAACAGG